GUACUCUUUUUGGCAAUAUGUAUAUUAAAAAUUGGAAUGAUACAGAGAUAACCAUGGCCCUUGCCCAAGGAUGACACACAAAUUCAUGACACAUUCCAUAUUUAA